CAAAACCCAAACUAAAUUAUCUUCCUUGAUAAGAUGUAGAGAGCACAUAACCGGUCAUAAUCAUAUUUCCAUUAAUUUUCUCUGUUUGUGCUUCAAGUCAAAGACAUAAAGGUGUGAGGUUGGUGCACAACUAAGGCAAAGAAUAUGUAAAUUUAUUACUAUGUAAGUGGGGUCUGCAUGCAGCUAUCCACCAUGAGACCUCAUCAAUUGAUAGUGAAGAUCAAUUCAGUCCACCAGCUAAACUGUGCCUCAUUUUCGCCGUCCAUUGAUAGUGCAGACGGCGGAUGGAUGAUUUGUGUACCCCACAACUAUGCGCGAUACUGUCGCUUGUCGGAGCUACAUGUAUGGCUUCCACAUGGCCUGAGUUUCGCUGUCUCAGUAUCAGUCGUGUAAGGGACACCUCCAAUCUCCAUGAGCGAUUUCAACCUAAUUUUUUAUUCAGCUUUUCUCCUCUGUGUAAGGAUUGUC
rnacentral:lncRNA from 1 species